rnacentral:misc_RNA from 1 species
AACGCACAUUGCGCCCGCUAGUAUUCUGGCGGGCAUGCCUGUCCGAGCGUCAUUUCAACCAUCAAGCGCCUGCGCUUGUGUUGGAGCCCUGCGGCAGCCGCAGGCUCCCAAACCCAGUGGCGGGCUCGUCGUCGUACCGAGUGCAGUAAACAUACCACGCUCAGGGCACGCGACGGGUGACCGGCCGUAAAACCCCCCACUUUCUCAAGGUUGACCUCGGAUCAGGUAGGAAUACCCGCUGAACUUAA